GACGUAGGGGGCCAGCGUUGUUCGGAAUUACUGGGGGUAAAGGGUUCGUAGGCGGUGUGGCAAGUCGGGAGUGAAAUCUCUGGGCUCAACUCAGAGACUGCUUCCGAAACUGCUGUGCUGGAGUGUGGGAGAGGCGCGUGGAAUUGCAGGUGUAGCGGUGAAAUGCGUAGAUAUCUGCAGGAACACCCGUGGCGAAAGCGGCGCGCUGGACCACUACUGACGCUGAGGAACGAAAGCGUGGGGAGCAAACAGG
rnacentral:rRNA from 1 species